CCCCCUCUUCCCUUUCUCCUCGCCUCUCCUUCCCCCGCAAACUGUUCGCUGGGAGACCCCGCCUCCACUCCACCGCGCCGCCGCUGCCGCCGCCGUGGCCAUCCCGGCGAGCACAUACCUUAGCUCCGCGGCAUAUAGGAGGUCUCCCGGCUGUUGACCCACAGGAUAGGGCUGCCCUCGCCGCAAAACCCACCCAGCCAGCCGCCCCCCUUCCCUUUCCUCGCCUCUCCUUCCCCCGCAAACUGUUCGCUGGGAGACCCCGCCUCCACUCCACCGCGCCGCCGUGGCCUUCCCGGCGCGCACAUACCUUAGCUCCGCUGCUUUGUUCACUGACACAGCUAAACAGUGGGUACGUAAAUGGAGAUGAAGUCGUCUAAACGGCCCUUCGAGUUGCUCAUAGAGAAGAGGCUAUGCCUUGAAAUCCUCAGAUCUGAUUACAUCAAAAUGUUUCACAAGAUUAAGGUCCACAAGAAUGCCAUAGACGAGAUUUACAAUCAAGUCAACCAUGUUGAGCCAUGGAUGAUUAACGACAAGAGGGUCCCUGGGCACGAUACCUUCAUUGCCCUCACCAAUCCCGUCCGCAUUGUCCCCUCCAAGGCCUUCUGCCUCCUUUACAAGUCCUUCACCAUGAAACUUACCACGAAGCAGAUCAAGGACCUAAUUGACAACACGCACUCGCCUUAUGUCAGAGCUAUUGGAUUUUUAUACCUGCGGUAUGUUGCGGAACCAGAUACCUUAUGGACUUGGUAUGAGCCCUACAUUCGAGAUGACGAGAAGUUUUCGCCUGGACCCAAUGGUCAAAUGACUACUAUGGGCGUUUAUGUGCGUGAUCUCCUCCUGGGUGAGCGCUACUUCGGCAGUCCUCUUCCGCGAAUGCCAACCCGAGUUUUGCAAGAGGUCAUGGCCGAUCUUAAGACGAUGAGGCUCCCAACAAAACUGUCAGGGAUAAUUCAGUAUUCUUCCGUACAAGGAAGUGAAAGUGGUCAUGCAAAAUCUCCACCGAGGAAGCACCGAAGUCAAAGUUGUGAGAGUAGUCAUGAUACUGAGAGGAACCAUUCAGAGCAUGAUCGUCCUAGGCACAAUGUUAGGGAGCAAGGUCGGCAAGCCCAAGUCAAGAAAGACCUUGAAAGGGAUGAUGAGAGACGUAGGGGUUCUGACCGAAAUGGCUGUUCGAGUGGACGCCGCAGGAGCAGAAGCAGGAGCCGUGAAAGGAGGGACUGGGGACUUGACCGUGAAAGGAAGGACCCUGGUCGAAACAGGCGUUCGAGAGGCCGCAGUGGCAGGAGCAGGAGCAGGAGCAGGAGUAGGGGCAGGAGGUGGAGCAGGGGCGAGCACGAGCCUGAGCAGGAGCAGGAGCGUCAGCCCCACUUCAUUUUGCGAAGAUGAAGGGAGUAUGGCGAACGCCAUCUAACAUAUAAAGCCUGCUAGACUACCCGCUGUUCCAGCGGCAUUGCGUUCGCGCAGCAUUUUCAACCGCACGAUGCAUUUACUGUUUGCAGUUUUACCCUGCUGUCAAUUGGCCAACCGCUCGUUGCAUUCACACACGUCCAAUAAUUAUGUAGCUCUAUGACUGAUGGGGUCGAGUGUCUAUGGGGCCACUGAGCGGAGGCUGGGUUUCUCUUGAGCUGGGUGGGCGAUUGGCUGGUGGACCGCAGUUCGUGGUUGGGUGGGAGCGACGUGAAGGGAUGGGUUUUCCCUGGUCUACGCAGACCGUGCUCUACCCUGCUGUUUCGAUGGUCCCGGUUGGCAUUUGGGCCUGCUGUGAAGUGGCUUGGGUGCUCAGGUAGCUCAUACGAGAGGGAUUGCCAACUGGAUAAGAGCGGCGUGGCGGUCUCGACCAUUGGUCAGAGGCCAUGUGACCUAGCCGCCCGCAGCUGCAGCCGCCUCCUCUCCUCUUCCUCGUUCUCCUGCCGCCGCCGCCGCCUCCUCUCCUCUCCCCGAAUUCUCCUACCUCAGUCGUCGUUGUCGCCGCCGCCGCCGUCGACCUAGACGUCACCGGCUGAGACCGCUGUGGUAUGGAUAAGGAGACGAGAGGAAGAGGACAUCCUUCCCUGACAGCGCCCCGACCUGCCAGGUCAUCCUCCUCGUCGGCCUAGGUCUGGUUCUGCUGGAUUAGAUGGACAGAAGUGGUGGAUCCGAUGGUUGCCGGAAUCCCUCAUCGUCGGAGGAAGGCGUGCGACCGGCAAAGAAAUAGGCUGAUGGAGCAGGAUGGGGUGGCGGUUCAAGUUCGGCGGCCUUCGCGUGUUGUGGUUGGCGGCGCUGCACUUCCCUUCUCCCCUGCCCAGAUUAUCCUUCAAAGGAGGCCACAAAGAGCAGCGAUGGCUUCUUGGUAAUCUGCAAUUGGCCACAAAGGAUGAGGUACAUGGAGAUUGCCAGCCACCUUCCAUUGGUGUAUAUGCAAGCUACAGAGAAAACCAAAUAUGCACCAUGCCGAUAUGCUUCAUGACGAGUGUGCUUUUGUCAUCCCUCACCCUCUCAGAUGGCCAUUAGGUGCUAACCAAGAGGUGCACGCCAUGAAUCAAACUACCGAGGGGGCAUACAGUAAUAAGGAGGGAGUGGCUAUCGCAGCGAAGCUACCCUCCCCCUCAAUCAUGCACUGCUUUUCAAACGCAGUUUGCCACUGCUGUUUAAUUAGCUUCUGCAUUAGCAGCGGAUUCAGAGUUUAUUCUUCAGCGGAUUCAAUUUGCGGGAGACUCCUGUUGCAGUUUGGUGACAUAGAUCAGUGUCAAGUCGCUUAACAAAUGCAGCUAGGUUCCAUUCAGUUAGCCAAAGCCAUUGUGCAUUAAAAUUGUAGAUGUGCAUGAGAGUGUGGAAAUCAUUAUGGCACGUCUAUGAGCAUGCUAUACUCCCAUGCUACUUUCAGUUAUUGACCACUAGCUUUAUUACAGCACCCAGGAUUUCAGGGUUUGCUUUACUUAGGUUAGUAUGUACUCUACCACAGAUGAAUUGGUUAUAUCUCAUUUUAAUAUACUUCAUUAGUAAUUACUAAAUAAUCUAAAGCGAGUUCUAUGGCAAAUUUUGUUUGGGUCUACUUUUUUGGAUCAUUUCCAUAUCUACAUUUCUUACAUAUAAAGGUAUGCUGCAAAAAUUAAGGGUCUGGAUGGUAAUUUAUGGCUGUUUCAGUUGCUGACCAUGUGAUUAUGGUAGUCUACAAUUUGCUUAUGGGUUCUUCAUUGCUUGAUUUUUAUCUCGGACAAAAGAGGGCCAGCCACACCUUUGAAAUAAGCAGCGGCCAUCCAGUCCAGAACAGACUGAAUCUGCUCGACAAAGUGUGAAAAUGCAAUUACUGCUUGGAAAAGUGUAAAAAAGGCUAGGGUAUCAUUUAUGUAGUUAUUUGGAAUGCAAGGUUAGGAAAUCCAAGAAAUAAGAUGAGAAGAGGAAUCUAGCAAAGGAAGGUGAAUCUUUUCUCUUGUGAAUACAACAAGAUUAUUGAAGAUUUUUGCUGCCAUGGAAUUGUGAGUUUGUGACUAUACAUUCUUGUGUCUUGAAGAUGUAUUGUCUCUGUAUGUGAAUGUCAAUAUCCAGGUAUGUAAGCAAGUCCUAACUUUUAUUCACAUAUUUAUCUAUGAAAUGCAUGCAAGCAAAUCACAUCUUACAGACAAAUGCCCCCUUAUAGGUAAAUGUGAUGAUUCAUAAAUUAACCGGUUGGAGAUAUGUAGAUAGUCAGGUGUACUGAUAACUGGAGUUUAGUGCUCAAAAUCCUUCUACCUUUUCUACUGACUGUAUUUUCUUGACGUCUUUAAGAGAAGAAUGAGUACUAUUAGUCAUUCUCUAUCAUGUAUAAUAGUACAAUACUGGAGAUGUGAAUGGAUAAUGUUCAUUUAGUAUAGUAUUAGUAGAUGAUGUUUUUUUUCUUCAGUCAACUCGUGUAUUUCCUGAUAUGUUCAGUCUAUUCCCAAAUUAGUUCGUAAAGUAGCCUUAACAAUUAUACAGUCUCUUUGUGUAUUAGUACUCUGUUUUCUUUGGUUUUUGGUCAGCUGGAAGAAUCAGUUUGUCAUAACAUGUGAAAAUGAUUUUAUUUACUUACGCUGUUGCUUUUAUCAGUUAGCAAAGAUGUUUGUCAAAUGUAGUAAGUUAGGCAUCGCAGUGAAGCUUAGCAAAGGGACUUCUGGUGAGGCCUACAAGGUUGGAAGCACUGUAUGUAAGGUGGUACCCUUUGAUGGAUAUUCAUUUGUCAACUAAUACAUGACCACACUAGAGAAGCACACGCCGCGCACACAAAAGGAUCCUAUCAGGUUCUAAAUAUAGUCCAUGAUAUCAUACAGUUUGAAGUCAAAAAAUUCAUGAUAUGGGUGAUAUGGAAAAGUCAUUGCCUUCUUUGCUGGAACAUUCCCUGAUUGCCUGGACUUCUUGGGUCAAUCGCUGGACGCCACCCCCGUCUUCUGGACGUCAUGACGCCGCCGAUUUCCUUGACGCCGCGUGCCACCGAUCUUCUAUAACUCAAUUUCUCCAAUUUCUCUCGGCUGAGAGCUCAUAUAUAUUUUUGAGCUGUGAACUUAUUAUGUAAACUCAACACUUUGUUUUGUGACAAGUGAACUCAUUUCAUAUUCAUCUAUCAAUCAUGGUUGAAGUGUCUA